GACGAACGCUGGCGGCGUGCCUAACACAUGCAAGUCGAACGGAACUGUUUUGAAAGAUUUCUUCGGAAUGAAUUUGAUUUCGUUUAGUGGCGGACGGGUGAGUAACGCGUGAGUAACCUGCCUUCAAGAGGGGAAUAACAUUCUGAAAAGAAUGCUAAUACCGCAUGACAUAUCGGAACCACAUGGUUUUGAUAUCAAAGAUUUUAUCGCUUGAAGAUGGACUCGCGUCCGAUUAGUUAGUUGGUGAGGUAACGGCUCACCAAGACCGCGAUCGGUAGCCGGACUGAGAGGUUGAACGGCCACAUUGGGACUGAGACACGGCCCAGACUCCUACGGGAGACAGCAGUGGGGGAUAUUGCGCAAUGGGGGCAACCCUGACGCAGCAACGCCGCGUGAAGGAUGAAGGUUUUCGGAUUGUAAACUUCUUUUAUUAAGGACGAAAAAUGACGGUACUUAAUGAAUAAGCUCCGGCUAACUACGUG
rnacentral:rRNA from 1 species